GAUGAACGCUGGCGGCGUGCUUAACACAUGCAAGUCGAACGAAGCACUUUAAAACAAUCUUCCGGGUGCGUUUUACUGUGACUUAGUGGCGGACGGGUGAGUAACGCGUGGGUAACCUGCCUCAUGCAGGGGGAUAACAGUUAGAAAUGACUGCUAAUACCGCAUAAGCGCACAGUACCGCAUGGUACAGUGUGAAAAGAUUUAUCAGCAUGAGAUGGACCCGCGUCUGAUUAGCUAGUUGGUGAGGUAACGGCUCACCAAGGCGACGAUCAGUAGCCGACUUGAGAGAGUGAUCGGCCACAUUGGGACUGAGACACGGCCCAAACUCCUACGUGAGGCAGCAGUGGGGAAUAUUGCACAAUGGGGGAAACCCUGAUGCAGCGACGCCGCGUGAGCGAUGAAGUAUUUCGGUAUGUAAAGCUCUAUCAGCAAGGAAGAUAAUGACGGUACUUGACUAAGAAGCCCCGGCUAACUACGUGCCAGCAGCCGCGGUAAAAC
rnacentral:rRNA from 1 species